rnacentral:rRNA from 1 species
AGAUUGAACGCUGGCGGCAGGCCUAACACAUGCAAGUCGAGCGGCAGCACGGGUACUUGUACCUGGUGGCGAGCGGCGGACGGGUGAGUAAUGCCUAGGAAUCUGCCUGGUAGUGGGGGAUAACGCUCGGAAACGGACGCUAAUACCGCAUACGUCCUACGGGAGAAAGCAGGGGACCUUCGGGCCUUGCGCUAUCAGAUGAGCCUAGGUCGGAUUAGCUAGUUGGUGAGGUAAUGGCUCACCAAGGCGACGAUCCGUAACUGGUCUGAGAGGAUGAUCAGUCACACUGGAACUGACGACACGGUCCAGACU